rnacentral:rRNA from 1 species
UACGUAGGCAGCGAGCGUUGUUCGGAGUUACUGGGCGUAAAGAGUGCGUAGGCGGCGUUCCAAGUUUGGUGUGAAAUCUCCCGGCUUAACUGGGAGGGUGCGCCGAAAACUGGGAUGCUAGAGUGCGGGAGAGGUAAGCGGAAUUCCUGGUGUAGCGGUGAAAUGCGUAGAUAUCAGGAGGAACACCUGCGGUGUAGACGGCUUUCUGGACCAUUGUUGACGCUGAGACACGAAAGCGUGGGUAGCAAACAGG